rnacentral:sRNA from 1 species
UUUGGUUUUGGUUUUUCAAGAUGGGAUUGGGGCUUCUCAGUGUAGCUUUGCCUGUCCUGGAACUCACUUUCUAGCACAGGCUGGCCUCAAAACUCACAGAGAUCCAACUGCCUCUGCCUCUGGAGUGCUGGAACCACCACCAGGUGUCUCAGAAGCUUGUUCUUCCAGCAGACAGAUACCAGGCGCACCUUUCCCUGAGUUCUAACAGCUGAAGAAAUCGCCACUUCCUGCUGAUUACUCUCUAGAGAAGACAGACAGCAAAGAAACGCAAAACCCACCCCAGGUUGAAACCUACUAGUCUGGUAUUUUUGCAACAACAGCCUGUGAUACCUGCCCUGUCCUUAUUUCUACUCUAAUUGCACUCUGGGACCUUCAUCGCUUUGUUCAUCUAAAUUAUAGCAACAGCAGCCUAAUUGGCCUUCCUGCGUUCAGUCCUCCCUCCAUGCCGCAGCUGCAAGUGUGAUCUUAUAUCAGCAGCCUAAUUAUGGCACUCUUCAUAGGCUUGCAAUUGCUCUCUGUUGACUACAGAAUAAAAUUCGAAUUGCAUAUUUCCUACAGAAUCCAAGGUAGGUUUUCUCAGCAGAGUAUAUUUUACUACGUGCUAGACAGCCACUGAUUGUGAACGUAAUAUUGGCUUAACAAGCAAUUUUGGGUCAGGGACCAAGAGACAGGAUGGAACCUAUGAAUAUGAAAACAAAACAAAACAAAACAAUGUGAUUUCACAAUUACUACGCCGCAAAGCUAUAUUACCUGCUUACAGUCACCACUACAGUAUCAGGGUAACAAGAAGUGGGGGGGAGGGGAUGUUAACCUGAGUAGUUAGGGGGAAUGGUAAUACGGGGAUUAGUUACAGACAUGGGCAAAGCUUAGCAAGCCAGCGACAAGGCUGGC